GAUGAACGCUGGCGGCGUGCUUAACACAUGCAAGUCGAACGAAGCAACUUAUUACGAUCCCUUCGGGGUGACGAUUUGUUGACUGAGUGGCGGACGGGUGAGUAACGCGUGGGUAACCUACCUUGUACAGGGGGACAACAGUUGGAAACGACUGCUAAUACCGCAUAAGCGCACAGCUUCGCAUGAAGCAGUGUGAAAAGUUUUUUCGGUACAAGAUGGACCCGCGUCUGAUUAGCUAGUUGGUGAGGUAACGGCCCACCAAGGCGACGAUCAGUAGCCGACCUGAGAGGGUGACCGGCCACAUUGGGACUGAGACACGGCCCAAACUCCUACGGGAGGCAGCAGUGGGGAAUAUUGCACAAUGGGCGAAAGCCUGAUGCAGCGACGCCGCGUGAGCGAAGAAGUAUUUCGGUAUGUAAAGCUCUAUCAGCAGGGAAGAUAAUGACGGUACCUGACUAAGAAGCACCGGCUAAAUACGUGCCAGCAGCCGCGGUAAUACGUAUGGUGCAAGCGUUAUCCGGAUUUACUGGGUGUAAAGGGAGCGUAGGCGGUUUUACAAGUCUGAUGUGAAAGCCCGGGGCUCAACUCCGGUAUUGCAUUGGAAACUGUAGAACUAGAGUGUCGGAGGGGUAAGUGGAAUUCCUAGUGUAGCGGUGAAAUGCGUAGAUAUUAGGAGGAACACCAGUGGCGAAGGCGGCUUACUGGACGAUUACUGACGCUGAGGCU
rnacentral:rRNA from 1 species